CCAUUUUGUUAAAUGAUUCUGGUCGGUACACAAACUCAUUAUUAAUAUCAGCAAGUCUGAGGGGUGUUUAUAUCAGGUCAUCGGGCCAUUUUGACAGGUAAUUCCCCCGAUACAAGUUUACUGUUGAGGGUGGCUCUGAUCUGUUUUGCCCAUUCUGAGCACUGGAAUCUGACUGAAGUUAACAAAUGGGGUCCCCAAUCAAAUUAGUCAUCUAAUACUAUGAAGACAAUGUGUAGCCAAAAAAAAAAAAGAGAGAGAGAGAGAGAAGAGAGCAUAACUAAACCCAUCCUGAGGAAUAACAACUCUAUAAUGUUCUUGCAAGUUAAUUUAAGCAUUAAAUUAAAAAUUAAAUUAAAAACAGGGAACUCUGAAGAGUAUAAAGCAGGCUUUGAAAUUAACUUUCGAUUCUUAUUGGAAAUUGGUAAAAAUCCUUAGUCAUUUACCAUUAAAGGAAUUGUCUCUGUUGUGGUCCAGUCUAGAUGUGUCUUCAUCAUUUGUGUUCUGCUGAUAUAGUUCACAUCCCACCCCAGGCUGGGAUGACGUUUCCACUUUCUUCCAUCAAGCUUUUAGUCAUAAUUACAGUGAAAUGUUAGUCUUUGUUUGCAAUUGCUCAAAGAUUAUACUGUAAAUCAAUUGACUUCUAGGAAAGCUUCAAUUUUGAAAAAUGUCUGUUGCCUUUAGGCAACGAUGAUGAUGGAGAUGACAUUAAUAAUCAGUGUUUCCUGAGCACUGCAGUGCUUCAGCCAGGUUACAGAUUGAUAGGAAGAGACCCACUCCCAACACACAUACUGCAAAGUUAGAUUAAACUCCAAAUUUAAUUAGCCAAGAAUGCAAACCUAAUCAGAAGGGAGGCGGCCACACAGGAUAGGAGUGUACACAGCAUAUCUCAGCAUAGAGCUUCCCUGGCUUCCCCUAAAAUCCAACAGGAACCCAUAUCUGCCUGUGGCACUGUCCACACAAAGAGGACAAAUAUUCAUUCUCACCUUGCCACUCACCUUUAAUAUUCAGGGUUUACAUCAUUUUUUGGAAGAACUAAUAUAGCCUUUUGAACUCAACUCAGUGUCUGUGAGGUGUCAUCUUUCCACCAGGGAGCAAGUAAUAUCAGGGUCUGGAACUGAAUCUCUGCUCUCAAUUUCCAGGGUUCUAGGAAAGCCCAUUUUCCAGUGAGUAUUCUAUGAUGUGAUCUCAUGCAGCAUCUCACUGAAUCCCCACAAAGAGCUGAUACAGGUUCACAGUCAUCAUCCAAAACACUUAGGCUAACCUAAGUUUUUGAAUUUAGAACUUUCAAAUUUCAGACCAGCUAAAUUACGCAUAUAACAUAUAUUUAAUUGGUACCACCCCCACUGGGAUCUGAGGCAGCACCCUGUAAGUAACUGCCUCAUAUGUGGGAUAAAAUAAAGAUUAUGAAUUGCCUUACCUCAGUUCAGUCAGAGUUUGCUGCAAAUUAGCUUGUGCUAAAUGUGUGAACAAUCAUUUGGUUCCAAGAACAUGUUGGAAGUUGCAGUGCAGAUUAGCAUUUGUUGACCUAUAUUAUUAUGUUCAUCUUGCAAUGAGGAAAUUGAGGCCAAGAGGAUUUAAGAAACUUGCCCAAGGUCACAACCAGUAAGUAGUCGGGGAAAAAUUCAAACUGAAUUCCAAGUUUGUAUCUUUAAUGACGAUGUCAUAACCUAGCCCUGACUGUCAGUUUGUGAGAACUCUCCAUUUUCUGACUCUUUCUAACGGGGCUUGGACUAGGGAGAGGGGAGCAAGACACUCACCUUGGGUAUCAAAUGUAAAGGGAGUGCCAAAAACUCAGUGACCAAGAUAAAUAAAUAAUUUAAAAAUGCACUAUACUAACAGUUUAAAUUAAUGCAAGAAAUCCUUGAUGAAUAAAAUAUAAAAAACUUUAAUCAAGACAUGAUCGGUGUUAUUGAUUUUUUGUUUUUGUCUCAGAUCCCAAGAUGGUUCCUCCAAUAUUGCUCUAUAACCACUGAGUACUGCUGUGUCCUCUGUUCUCACUGCAGUAAGAGGGAGUAUGAUGUUCCAUUCCUGUUGGCAAGAAGGGCGACUCCAGAGUGGGGCCAAGGAGAAGCAGUUCUCCAGUAUACAAAGUUCAUGAACAUCAUUUUGUGCCCUGAUCACCAGGAUUAAAGAUGACUUCUGGCUAUAUUAUUAUUGAACUGUUUGAUCCCAGUCUCAAUGACACAAAGAAAAGGGACGUUAUUUUCAACAGAGUUAAGUGAUUGGAAUGGAAAAAGUUUAAGUUGAUCUGCUUUCAAGUUUUACCAGUCAAGAUCCAGAAGGAAACAGAAUUCACCCCUGGUCUAAAGGAAACAGAGGAAAAUGAGAGAAAAUGGUG